GGGGCUGUGGCUCAGUGGUAGAGCCUCUGUUUGCCAUGCAGAAGGUCCCAGAUUCAGACCCCAGCAUCUCCA
rnacentral:tRNA from 1 species